rnacentral:rRNA from 1 species
GAUGAACGCUGGCGGCGUGCCUAAUACAUGCCAGUCGAGCGAACGGACGAGAAUCUUGCUUCUCUGAUGUUAGCGGCGGACGUGUGAGUAACACGUGUAUCACCUACUUAUAAGACUGGGAUAACUUCGGGAAACCGGCUCUAAUCCCGGAUAAUCUUUUGCACCGCAUGGUUCAAAAGUAAAAUACGGUCUUGCUGUCUCUUAUAGAUGGAUCCGCGCUGCAUUAGCUAGUUGGUAAGGUAACGGCUUACCAAGGCAACGAUGCAUAGCCGACGUGAGAGAGGGAUAGGCCACACUGGAACUGAGACACGGUCAAGAGUACUAAGGGAGGCAGCAGUAGGGAAUCGGACGCAGUGGGCGAAAGCAUGGCGGAGUAACGGCGAGUGAGAGAUAAAGGUGUUGGGAGCGGAAAACUCUGUUAUUAGGGAAGAACAUAUGUGUAAGUAACUGUGCAGAGCGUGACGGUAACGAAUCAGAAAGCCACGGCUAACUACGUG